rnacentral:misc_RNA from 1 species
GAAAGUGAAAGCAAGGCUGAGUUGGACAGGUUCUGCGACGCACUUAUCUCCAUUAGGGAGGAAAUUGCAGAGAUUGAGAAAGGAAAAGUUGAUAUCCAGAACAACGUGCUAAAGGGAGCUCCUCAUCCACCGUAUUUGCUCAUGGGAGAUGCAUGGACAAAACCAUAUUCUCGGGAAUAUGCAGCCUUCCCUGCUUCUUGGCUCCGGGGUGCCAAGUUCUGGCCUACUACUGGACGCGUGGACAACGUUUAUGGUGACCGCAACCUCAUCUGCACCCUUCUCCCAGCAUCACAGUAUGUGGAAGAACAGGCAGCAGCUACUGCUUAAUCUGUAUAGAUGUGUCCCUUGUGAGGCUGCCUAUGAACACCAAAGUCAAAAAUCAUCUCUUUUCUUCUCUGUAUACAAGUUCAUCC